rnacentral:rRNA from 1 species
UACGGAGGGUGCAAGCGUUAUCCGGAUUUACUGGGUUUAAAGGGUGCGUAGGCGGGCAGGUAAGUCAGAGGUGAAAUCUCCGGGCUUAACCCGGAAACUGCCUUUGAUACUAUCUGUCUUGAAUAUGGUGGAGGUAAGCGGAAUAUGUCAUGUAGCGGUGAAAUGCUUAGAGAUGACAUAGAACACCUAUUGCGAAGGCAGCUGGCUAGACCGGGAUUGACGCUGAGGCACGAAAGCGUGGGGAGCGAACAGG